rnacentral:misc_RNA from 1 species
AUGAAGAACGUAGCGAAAUGCGAAAAGUAAUGUGAAUUGCAGAAUUCAGUGAAUCAUCGAAUCUUUGAACGCACAUUGCGCCCGCUGGUACUCCGGCGGGCACGCCUGUCCGAGCGUCAUUUCAACCCUCAAGCCCUCCUUCGGGAUGGGCCUGGUGUUGGGGCUCGGCCGCCAUCUCCGGCGGCCGUCCCCUAAAUACAGUGGCGGUCACGUCGCGACUCCUUUGCGUAGUAGAAACACCUCGCUCCGGAUAGCAACGCGGUCCACGCCGUAAAACCCCCAAUUUUCAAUGGUUGACCUCGGAUCAGGUGGGAAUACCCGCUGAACUUAAGCAUAUCAAUAAGCGGAGGA